rnacentral:rRNA from 1 species
GUGUACGUACAAGCAGUGGGAGCACAGAGCAAUCUGUGUGACUGCGUACCUUUUGUAUAAUGGGUCAGCGACUUAUAUUCUGUAGCAAGGUUAACCGAAUAGGGGAGCCGAAGGGAAACCGAGUCUUAACUGGGCGUUAAGUUGCAGGGUAUAGACCCGAAACCCGGUGAUCUAGCCAUGGGCAGGUUGAAGGUUGGGUAACACUAACUGGAGGACCGAACCGACUAAUGUUGAAAAAUUAGCGGAUGACUUGUGGCUGGGGGUGAAAGGCCAAUCAAACCGGGAGAUAGCUGGUUCUCCCCGAAAGCUAUUUAGGUAGCGCCUCGUGAAUUCAUCUCCGGGGGUAGAGCACUGUUUCGGCAAGGGGGUCAUCCCGACUUACCAACCCGAUGCAAACUGCGAAUACCGGAGAAUGUUAUCACGGGAGACACACGGCGGGUGCUAACGUCCGUCGUGAAGAGGGAAACAACCCAGACCGCCAGCUAAGGUCCCAAAGUCAUGGUUAAGUGGGAAACGAUGUGGGAAGGCCCAGACAGCCAGGAUGUUGGCUUAGAAGCAGCCAUCAUUUAAAGAAAGCGUAAUAGCUCACUGGUCGAGUCGGCCUGCGCGGAAGAUGUAACGGGGCUAAACCAUG